rnacentral:rRNA from 1 species
GAUGAACGCUAGCGGCAGGCUUAAUACAUGCAAGUCGAGGGGCAGCACAGAUAGCAAUAUUGGGUGGCGACCGGCAAACGGGUGCGGAACACGUACACAACCUUCCUUUUAGUGUGGGAUAGCCCAGAGAAAUUUGGAUUAAUACCACAUAGUAUAUUGGAGUGGCAUCACUUUGAUAUUAAAGAUUUAUCGCUAAAAGAUGGGUGUGCGUAUGAUUAGGUAGUUGGUAGAGGUAACGGCUCACCAAGCCUUCGAUCAUUAACUGGUGUGAGAACACGACCAGUCACACGGGCACUGAGACACGGGCCCGACUCCUACGGGAGGCAGCAGAAAGGAAUAUUGGUCAAUGGACGGAAGUCUGAACCAGCCAUGCCGCGUGAAGGAUGACGGCCCUCUGGGUUGUAAACUUCUUUUAUGUGGGACGAAAAAGGGCCAUUUUUGGUCAACUGACGGUACCAUAGGAAUAAGCACCGGCUAACUCCGUGCCAGCCGCCGCCGUAA